GACGAACGCUGGCGGCGUGCCUAAUACAUGCAAGUCGAGCGGACGAAUCGAAAGCUUGCUUUUGAUUCGUUAGCGGCGGACGGGUGAGUAACACGUGGGCAACCUGCCCUGUAGACGGGGAUAACACCGAGAAAUCGGUGCUAAUACCGGAUAACACGAAAUGUCGCAUGACGUUUCGUUGAAAGACGGCGCAAGCUGUCGCUACAGGAUGGGCCCGCGGCGCAUUAGCUAGUUGGUGAGGUAACGGCUCACCAAGGCGACGAUGCGUAGCCGACCUGAGGGGGUGAUCGGCCACACUGGGACUGAGACACGGCCCAGACUCCUACGGGAGGCAGCAGUAAGGAAUCUUCCGCAAUGGACGAAAGUCUGACGGAGCAACGCCGCGUGAGCGAAGAAGGCCUUCGGGUCGUAAAGCUCUGUUGUUAGGGAAGAACAAGUAACGCAGUAACUGGCGUUACCGUGACGGUACCUAACGAGAAAGCCACGGCUAACUACGUG
rnacentral:rRNA from 1 species